rnacentral:rRNA from 1 species
UACGUAGGGUGCAAGCGUUAAUCGGAAUUACUGGGCGUAAAGCGUGCGCAGGCGGUUCGCUAAGACAGAUGUGAAAUCCCCGGGCUCAACCUGGGAACUGCAUUUGUGACUGCAUCGCUGGAGUGCGGCAGAGGGGGAUGGAAUUCCGCGUGUAGCAGUGAAAUGCGUAGAUAUGCGGAGGAACACCGAUGGCGAAGGCAAUCCCCUGGGCCUGCACUGACGCUCAUGCACGAAAGCGUGGGGAGCAAACAGG